rnacentral:rRNA from 1 species
UACGAAGGGGGCUAGCGUUGCUCGGAAUUACUGGGCGUGAAGGGCUCGUAGGCGGCCAACUAAGUCGGACGUGAAAUCCCUCGGCUUAACCGGGGAACUGCGUCCGAUACUGGAUGGCUUGAGUUCGGGAGAGGGAUGCGGAAUUCCCGGUGUAGAGGUGAAAUUCGUAGAUAUCGGGAGGAACACCGGUGGCGAAGGCGGCGAUCUGGGUCGAUACUGACGCUGAGGUGCGAAAGCGUGGGGAGCAAACAGG